rnacentral:piRNA from 1 species
UUACCGUUAUGACUGCCAUUGUUGGAACCUU